rnacentral:piRNA from 1 species
UCUAUGGCAUGAUGGUUCUGUAAGCACUA